AAGUCGUAACAAGGUUUCCGUAGGUGAACCUGCGGAAGGAUCAUUACCAAAAUAUCUAUACAUUAACCCAUGUGCACUGUGAUGAUUUGUCUUGGUUUUUGGGGUGUUCUUCGGAAGAGGUUCACCCCAACCAUUUUGUUAAACAACCGCUUAUAUAUCAUGGCAUCGUGUUUGUCUUGAAAUAACAUGACAACUUUUAACGGUGGAUCUCUUGGCUCGUGGAUCGAUG
rnacentral:misc_RNA from 1 species